GCGCAUAUAGCUCAGUUGGUUAGAGCGCGUCCCUGAUAAGGACGAGGUCCCAGGUUCGAAUCCUGGUAUGCGCACCA
rnacentral:tRNA from 1 species